GAUGAACGCUGGCGGCGUGCCUAAUACAUGCAAGUCGAGCGAACAGACGAGGAGCUUGCUCCUCUGACGUUAGCGGCGGACGGGUGAGUAACACGUGGAUAACCUACCUAUAAGACUGGGAUAACUUCGGGAAACCGGAGCUAAUACCGGAUAAUAUCUUGAACCGCAUGGUUCAAUAGUUAAAGACGGUUUUGCUGUCACUUAUAGAUGGAUCCGCGCCGCAUUAGCUAGUUGGUAAGGUAACGGCUUACCAAGGCAACGAUGCGUAGCCGACCUGAGAGGGUGAUCGGCCACACUGGAACUGAGACACGGUCCAGACUCCUACGGGAGGCAGCAGUAGGGAAUCUUCCGCAAUGGGCGAAAGCCUGACGGAGCAACGCCACGUGAGUGAUGAAGGUCUUCGGAUCGUAAAACUCUGUUAUUAGGGAAGAACAAAUGUGUAAGUAACUAUGCACGUCUUGACGGUACCUAAUCAGAAAGCCACGGCUAACUACGUG
rnacentral:rRNA from 1 species